rnacentral:piRNA from 1 species
UGAGGGACACCAAUGUGUAAUGUCAUAUGU